GACGAACGCUGGCGGCGUGCCUAAUACAUGCAAGUAGAACGCACAGUUUAUACCGUAGCUUGCUACACCAUAGACUGUGAGUUGCGAACGGGUGAGUAACGCGUAGGUAACCUGCCUGGUAGCGGGGGAUAACUAUUGGAAACGAUAGCUAAUACCGCAUAAUAUUAAUUAUUGCAUGAUAAUUAAUUGAAAGGUGCAAUUGCACCACUACCAGAUGGACCUGCGUUGUAUUAGCUAGUAGGUGAGGUAACGGCUCACCUAGGCGACGAUACAUAGCCGAACUGAGAGGGUGAUCGGCCAAACUGGGACUGAGACACGGCCCAGACUCCUACGGGAGGCAGCAGUAGGGAAUCUUCGGCAAUGGACGAAAGUCUGACCGAGCAACGCCGCGUGAGUGAAGAAGGUUUUCGGAUCGUAAAGAUCUGUUGUAAGAGAAGAACGGGUGUGAGAGUGGAAAGUUCACACUGUGACGGUAUCUUACCAGAAAGGGACGGCUAACUACGUG
rnacentral:rRNA from 1 species